rnacentral:lncRNA from 1 species
UCUGAUACCAUGUCAAAUAACCACUUAAUCCCAAAAGCUUAAGCUGUUGGGUAAGGGCCACUUUAAUGAUUUUAUAUUAUAUUCUAACACAUAUAUCUGACAUACUUGUUUGAUGACAACCGCUAAACACAAAGAGUUUAAAAAAGUUCAGCGGAGACCUCCGCAAAAUAUAUACGUCAAUUUUGUGAUUGUUUAUGUAGUGUUCUCAAAUCACAAAUUUUAUUUUUCUUAUUUUUAAAUACAUUGCAAAUUGUGGUGGUUACAAAUUUGUCACAAUCAACGUAUGUCGGUCUGUGGUCUAGUCAUCCUGAAUGUCUACUAAACAUUACCGAGUGAAUUUUUUUAUCAACAAAGCUAACACCGGUCACCAAUUAGUGGAUGAUUCAAGUAAUUCAUGUUUAAUUCCCUUUGAAUAAAAUCGCAGCUGUAAGUGAAAAAUGUCUGUAGUCAAACAAAAAACAGCUAACAUCAGGAGGUGGCUUUCAGCAGUUGAGCUUUGGUAAGCGGAGUCGACCCCGUGAAUGUGAAGGCAUGGCAUGAUUUGGUCCAAAGUCUAACAAACAUUAAACAAUGUCUACUUUCCUAAAACUCUUGAAUUUAAUGGAAGUCCUUGGUGAAUAAGGUUUUGUUUCCCACUGGCAUUUUGUCUUGUGCUUUGUCUAAUUCUUCAUACAGAUUUGAACAACUAGAUUCACACAUGGACCCAUAAUCUUAGUUGAGAAUAUGUGCAUAUUUUACUAAAGAUUAUGUUUAGAUUAAAUAUACAAGUCAUUAGAUUAUGAAAGGAAGACACUAAUUCCAAAUCAUGAUAAGAUGUAAAGUGCUUUUGUAGUGUGACUAACUAUGAGCAAUAUUAAAGAUUAGUAGUGCCAGUGGUCUACUAAUUAAUUAAUAAUGAUUAAUUAUAACUCCCAGAAUUCCGACACAAAUGCUUACACAUGAAGCCCGAGCACAUGGCGGAGCAUCGGAGUAAUGUUAACGACAUCUUCACUUCAUUCACUAACCACCACCGUGACAUUCAUCAAUUUUAAGAUUGAAGAAUCAUAUUAUUCAUAUACAAUCGAGAAAGGAAUAGUACUCAAAAUAGUAAUGGUGUGCUGGUCAAUAAUGAAUACUUAAGAGUUUUAAGAAAUAGAAAAGAGAGAACAACAUAAUGAUUAUUAGUUUAAGGAAAAGAAUACAUUUUGAAUGGAAUUCAGAAUAAUUAUAAGGGGAUUGUUAUUCAGACUCCCCCCUAUUCAGACCCCUCAAAAUUGGCGAAUUGUCCAAAAUGCCCCUGUUUAAAAAAAAAACUUUCCAC